rfam:Nematostella vectensis strain CH2 x CH6 NEMVEscaffold_177_Cont17347, whole genome shotgun sequence.
GUUGGGUACGGGGACAUGUAUCCCGUGACUCCGUGGGGCAAGUUAGUGGGAUCGAUCUGCGCCAUUUCCGGUGUGCUUACAAUUGCACUUCCGGUUCCCGUUAUUGUUUCAAAU